CAUAAAUUACCCAUUAGGGCAAAGCAUGCACAAUAUCCCCCACCAAACGGCGCAUUAAUGGUUAAUAAAACCCAAAAUGUUUUUUUUUUUUACUUUUCUAGCAAAAAUUGAAAGAGUCUCUCCCCUUUUUUUUAAAACCCCUUUUUUUCAAACACCCAACUCUUGGGUUUCUUAACACCUGGAGCGCCACCGCCACAGCCACAAAGAUCGACGGCCGACGAUGAAGGAAAGACCCCCCGGCGGCACGGUCACGGCCAACUCCUGUGAGUUUCUCCUCCCCUUAUUUUUUUUGCUUUUGAUUUUAUAGUUAUUUAAAAUAGAUUUGCAAAAGAAAAGAAAAAAAAGAAUAAAACAAACAAAUAAAUAAAUAGAAAAAAACGAAGAGUAAAUAACAAGGAUUUAACCCUUUAAAAUUUCUAUUCUUUUUGAUUUCUGAUGUGGGUUCUUUUACAAAGAAAAUCCCCCCCUUUUUGUGAUCGAUUUUGGCUUUUUUAAAGUCGAUCUAUAAAACAUUCAUUUCCUAUUUUUUGUUUUCGUUCUUUUGUUUAUUCUUUCCCCCAUCCCUCGCAUGCUUCCUUUUGCUGUUGUUUUUGUCUCUGUUGCAGGUGUGUCGGGUAUGGGUGGUGCACGUGAUGGCCAAGGGCAGAGGUAGCAUGGGGCGACUGAAUCUUGGGGACAGAGGGAGGAGCGGCUAGUUUUUUUUGUUUGCUGAAAAUUAGUUAAGGUUGUGGGCUGAUUGGGCUUUUAGGGUUUUAAUUUGUUUGGGUUUAAAUUUUGGGUUAUUUUGUUGGUAUGGGCCCGGGCAAAAUGGGCUCGUACAUACAUUAUUACGUAUGGAAUUUAGAUUGCACUUAUUUGUUCAUUGUGAGGAAUUUUUGAAGUUUAUAUUAUUGUAUAAUCAAAUUAUUUUAACAAUUUAUACUAAGCUUUUAUCGGAGAAAGCCUUAAUUGUGAGGAAAA
rnacentral:lncRNA from 1 species